UACAGAGGGUGCAAGCGUUAAUCGGAAUUACUGGGCGUAAAGCGUGCGUAGGUGGUUCUUUAAGUCAGGUGUGAAAUCCCCGGGCUCAACCUGGGAACUGCAUUUGAUACUGAAGAGCUAGAGUGUGGUAGAGGAUAGUGGAAUUCCCGGUGUAGCGGUGAAAUGCGUAGAUAUCGGGAGGAACAUCAGUGGCGAAGGCGGCUAUCUGGACUAACACUGACACUGAGGUACGAAAGCGUGGGUAGCAAACAGG
rnacentral:rRNA from 1 species